GCUCACAAACGUAUAGAAACAUCUAACGGCCGACUCAUUCAUAGUAAUAUAUUUUCAAGCUCCAGCAGCUGUCCAUGUUAUCUGUGGACCCCACACUCUUCUCUAAAUAAUAAUUCUUCCCUUAUAAAUACUCUCACACCCUCUCAAUUCUCAUAUCACCACUUCUCAACAUUCACAACUUCUCUUUAUAUUUUCAUUUUCUCAUUUUCAAUCUCAAAUUCAAAGUUUUAUAAUGGCAUCAUCAGCUAUGAAGUUCUUCUCCUUCUUUUUGGUCAUCAUCUUCGCCGCCACCGUGGCCUCUGCCCAAGAUCUUAGUCCUUCGUUGGCUCCAGCACCAGGUUCUGAUGCUGGAGUUGCUGGAUCUGUUACAAGUUCAGUGGCAAUGAUCGGAGUUUCAGUUGUAUUGUCAAUGAUCGCCAUCUUCAAACACUAAAAACAUAAUGAUUCCACUUAUUUUCUUGUGGAUUUCAUGGAAGUAGACAAGUAAUAUUGACCUGUUCUGAUGCAUAAUGUUGUUUUGUGGUACGAUGAUGAUUGUUAGGAGUUUAUCUAUGUAUUUUUGAGAGUGUAAGAUAUUUUAUAGCAUUUACUUUUACAUUUUAUUAUUUAUUGUAGGUGUUAAAGUAAAAUAAAUAGGACUUUACCAUGGUUCUUGAGUAAUUAUUAUUGUCAUGUUUGCUUAUUUAUUUUUGUGGAUAAUAUAUAAACUAUGACAUUAUUACAUUUUUCUACUUAGUAUUCUUUUAUAAAUCUUUUUCUUUUAUUCAUAUUUAUUCUUUCAUCAUUUAAGUUUGGACUUUUUUUUUGUGUACCUUUUAGUUUGGACUUGAAUAUGAAAAUAAUUAAACAAGUUGUUUAUUAGAAAAAAAAUAGGUUUAAUUGCAUUUUUCCUCCUAUCUUUUGUUAAUUGUGCAAUUUUGCACCCCUUUAUUUUUUGAGCGAUUUUGCACCCCAUCUUUUUCCCCCUUUCUGAUUUUGCCCCCCGUCUUUGUGUUCAAUUGCACUUUUGCCCCCUAUCUUUUUGCUAAUUGUGCGAUUUUGCACUCUCUCUUCUUUUUUUUGAACGAUUUUGCACCUUAUCUUUAGCCCCUUUUCCUCUCUUUUAAUGAUGAUUUUUAACAAAACACAAUUGGCAAAAGAUGGGGUGCAAAAUCACUCAAAAAAAACAAGGGGUGUAAAAUUGCACAAUUAGCAAAAGAUAGGGGGAAAAGUGAAAUUAAGCCACUUUUUUCUUGACAAGAAAGCAUCUCCAAGAUUUUUGUAAGAAGAUAAAAGAAAUACUCCCUCCGGUCCUAUUUAUAAGAUAAAGUUGGGUCAACAAAAGUUGAUGUAUCAGGUUAACAAUUUUCUUAUAAAUAGGACCAGAGGGAGUAUAUGUUUAAUUGUAUAUUAAUUUUCAAAAAGAACCAAAAUUUAAGAUAAAAAUAAAGAUUUGCGAGAAAAUAAUAUAUUUAUUGAAUUUAACUCCAUUUCAUUAACCCACUGACUUUAAUUAAUAAGAGUGUUUUCUUUUUGUGGUGGCCGAAGUUUAAACCUCAAACCUUAUAUAUAUUAUGCAUUGUCUCCAGCAACUAAGUUAAAUUCACGAUGACAAUUAAUAAGAGUAUUUUGGUAAAUGAUACAUUAUUCAAUCACUAUUAUAAACAAAAAUCAAUUUUUUUUUAUAAAAUUUUAUUAUGACUUAUAAUAGUGAUCAGAGGAUGUACUAACAUUAUUAUUAAAAUCACCAUAACCGAACGUUUUCUUAAAGAGAAAUGUUAUUUGUACAACCAUUUUUAUACAACUUUUGUACAACUUUAUCUCUGAUACUCACAUUAUCUUCUUAUUCUCUCUUUUCUUUUUUCUCUCUCCAUUGUUUUUGACCAAUAAGAAGAGAGAACAACAAGGUUGUACCAAAAGUUGUACCAAAAUAGUUGUUCAAAUAUCAUUACUCUUUCUUAAAAAUCGUACACAACCACAAUGUGACAAUUAAAAGGUAUGGGGAGUGCGGAUAGGUAUUAUUCUUUCCCGAGAAAUGAUAUUUGUACAACCACUUUGUGAUAACUUUUUGAUAACUUUCUCUCUCAUACUCACAUUAUUCUCUUAUUCUCCCUCUUUCUUUUUCUCUCUCCAUUGUUUUUGACCAAUAAAAAUAGAGAGAAACGAAGUUGUCACAAAAAUCGUAUCAAAUGGUUGUUCAAAUAUCACUUCUCUUCUUUCCCGUGUCUUUUUCACCCGUCCAAUGAUAAUCCAACCAUUUCUAAUAAAUUUUUAUAAAGUUCAGUGAAAUAAAAUGAAUGGUUAAGAUGAGUGACUUCAAGAGAACAAUUCUACCAUUAAUAAAAAUAGGCUAAAUUACAUUUUUGGUCCCUUAACUAUUUAGGUAGUAUCACUUUGGUCCCUAAGUUAAAAUUUGAUUUAUUUUGUUCUCUUAACUCCUUCCUGCUACACAUUUUGGUAUUUUUCGUUAGUUUUAAUUCAAAAACGUUAGGUUUUCUUCAUUUUCUUCUGGAAUUUUUCUCGGAUUCAUGUUGUUGAAGGUUGAUGGAGAUGAUAUAAAGAUGAAAAAGAGGAGAAGAAGAUGAAGAAAACCUAACGUUUUUGAAUUAAAACUAACGGAAAAAACUAAAAUGUAUAACGAAGAGAAGUUAAAGGACCAAAAUAAAUUGAAUUUUAAUUAAAGGACCAAAACAAUACUAGCUUAAUAGUUAAUGAACCAAAAAUGCAAUUUAGCCAUAAAAAUAUGUCUAUGGUUCCACUUGAACAAACGAUUCCUCUAUACAUCCGCCAUAUGAAUUAUUAAUUGAUUCUUAGAACUUACAAGAGUCCAAGUCUUGAUCGAAAAAAGAAGAGUCCAAGUGAAUUUUAAAUCAGAAAAUAUUGGCUAUUAUAGCGGUUGAGUUAUUCAAAGAAAAACAAAAGAUAUAAUAAUUCUACUUUUUUGGUACUUUUGUUUAACAAAAGUGAACAGCACAUUCACACAGCUCACAAACGUAUAGAAACAUCUAACGGCCGACUCAUUCAUAGUAAUAUAUUUUCAAGCUCCAGCUGUCCACGUUAUCUGUGGACCCCACACUCUUCGCUAAAUAAUAUUCUUCCCUUAUAAAUACUCUCACCCUCUCAAUUCUCAUAUCAUCACCACUUCUCAACAUUCACAACUUCUCUUUAUAUUUUUAUUUUCUCAUUUUCAAUUUCAAUUUGAAAGUUUUACAAUAACAUCAUCAACUAUGAAGUUCUUCUCCUUCUUUUUGGUCAUCAUCUUCGCCGCCACCGUGGCCUCUGCCCAAGACCUUAGUCCUUCGUUGGCUCCAGCACCAGGUCCUGAUGCUGGAGCUGCUGGAUCUAUUACAAGUUCAGCGGCUAUGAUCGGAGUUUCAAUUGUGUUGUCAAUGCUCGCCAUCUUCAAGCACUAAAAACAUGAUGGAUUCCACUUAUUUUCUUGUGGAUUUCAUGGAGUAGGCAAGUAAUAUUGACUUAUUCUGGUGCAUAAUGUUGUUUUGCAGUACAGUGAUGAUUGUUAGGAGUUUAUCUAUCUAUUUUUGAGAGUAAUGUAAGAUAUUUUACGGUAUUUAUUUUUACAUUUCAUUAUUUAUUGUAGGUGUUACAGUAAAAUAAAAAGGACUUUACUAUCGUUGUUGAGUAAUUAUUAUUGUCAUGUUUGCGUAUUCAUUAUUGUGUAUAAUACAUAAACAAUGCCAUUAUUGCAUUUUUCUACUUGGUAUAUUUUUUUAUAAAUCUUUUUAUUUUAUUCAUCUUUUAUCUUUCAUCAUUUAAGUUUGGACUUUUUUUUGUGUACCUUUCUGUUUGGAAUUGAAUAUGAAAAUAAUUAAAAAGUUGUUUCUUAGAAGAAAAAAAAUAUUUAAUACUAACAGCUCAAUUUUUGUUUUGAACAAUCAAAUUUAUUAGAAAUGACAGAAGUAGUACUUAACUCACAAUUCAGGAAUAGUACAAGGGAUACUUGCUUAGUAAAAAAUCCAAACUCUAACUUAAGUAUUUAAACAAAGAAGAGAGUUUGAGUAUCAUUUAUUAUAUAAACACGGUCCCACUUUUUUCUUGACAAGAAAGCAUCUACAAGAUUUUUGUAAGAAUAUAAAAGAAAUAUAUGUUUAAUUGUAUCUUAAUUUUCUAAAAGAACCAAAAUUUAAGAUAAAAAUAAAGAUAUUAAAAGAUAAAGAUUUGUGAGAAUAUAAUAUUUUUUUUGGUUUUAAAGAAUGAAGUGGCGAAAUUCAAUUCAUAUAGGUGAAACGAACUAUCUCGGGUUUGAACAUGCCUAAUCAAAAACAAAAAGUCGCAAAAAGUCGUUAACCAACAAAUUUAGCUGAAAUAGUUUAUGAACUACACCAAAAAAUAAUUUAACACGAAGAAAAAAAAAGGAAAAAAUCGUUUACGUUAAUAAUGAGUUGUGGUCUUUCUAUAAACUGGCAAAUUUAUUAAUCAAGCCAAUUUACAAGAAGUAACGAAAGCACAAGCAAACAAGAAAAAAACAAUCAUAAAAUAAAAAUAUAAAAAACAAGUACUACACCCUAAGAACAUGCCCUCAUAAACACAAUUUUACACUACACAAUCCGAAGAAAGACCUAACUAAGGUUUUACAAUUCGAGAGUUUACCUCAAUUUGUUUUACCUAUAUAAACUCAAACUCAUAUAAGUUUAUUUAAAAUUAAAAUUAUAUAAAAUUUAUUAUAUCCAUGACAUAAGUAAGCUAAUAUAAUAUUGCAAAUAUGUCAAUAAUUCAAAAUAUGACUUAAUUACAAAGACAAAGUAUACAUAACCACCAUAAUAAAGAGUUGUGUUCGGCUUAGCAUCAAAAUACAAAAUUAACUUGCAAAAUCAUAAGUUUGGUAAGACUUUAAACCAUCCAAUAAAGCAAGUUUUAAAAGUUUUUAAAGUUGUUAAUGUUGGAUAUUUAUAUAUUGGCUUCACUUUUGCCUAAAACAAAUAUUCAUGUGAGAUAUUGAACACGAUGUGUCAACAUCCUGGCAUGGUUCAGUUGAUCUGCACACUGUCUCGUUUUAUGCACGCGCUAUUUUAUUUAAAGAAUCCACAUCUUUAUUCAUGUUGGUCAAGCUGCGUGUUUUUAGCACAUGAUCAGAUCAGUUUGUGAUUUCCUAAGAUUGUGUUAUCUACUUAGGAAAGUUUGGAGGUGAUCACGAUGUUCCUAAUAAUGUGCCUACAUAUUAGGAGUUUCCUUUUUUGAUUCUGUUGAUCGUGAAAUGGAUCACCGGAUUGUUCUGAAGCACAACAAGUUUACUGACUCGUAUUGCUUCAGUAUUUAAACAAGACUCAUUCAAGCCGUCAUUUUGAAGAAUAGAUCAUCUAGGAUUUUGAGUCUGUUUGUGUGAGCUUUUCGUGUAUCAUCUUAAUGCAUGUUUAGGACUGUGUUUGAGUUGUAAAUUGUGCACUACUCUGAAGCUUUUAAGAAAAGAGUUAGGUAGUUUGUAAACUGCACCUAAGUUGUGAAAUACGGUGUUUAGUUUUUUUGUGUUUGUAAUUUGAGAAUCACAGGGGAUGUGAUCAAUUGUAAGGGAGUGAGAUGGGAUCUCAGAUCUAGGAGUUCCUAGGUUGAAGUCAGUACGGGUAGGUCCUAGGUCAUUAGCACAAACGAGGAGUUUGCUGAGAGCUAUUGAAUAAGGACUACACUAGUGGAUUUCCUUCCUGACUUGGUAGCCCCCAGAGUAGGUGACGUUGCACCGAACUGGGUUAACAAACUCAUUGUGCUUUUUACUUUUAUGCUUUGCGUUUUUCUUGUCUUUGUUAGCUUAGUGUUCGAAACAUUUCACUCAACAUCUGUUUUUGUAUAACUUGUGUUGAAACAUUGUAUGGAACAUCUUAAGUCUAACGUGCCAGAAUUUCAGUUAAUGAAGUUAUCCAAAAAAUAAACUAGUUAAUUUCUUCAAAAGUUCAAUCAUUCUAAAGUUUCUUAAUAUCAUUAUCAUUGGUGUCUUCAUCUCCAAUUUCAUCAAAUUCUUCUCGAGAUGAUAUAGAAUUUUCCAUAUUACAACCAAAUACAUGGCUUGAACUCACUUCAACAUUAAUUAACUCAUUCAAGUUUACUAUAGUUACAAGAUUUUACCAGGUUUAACACGUGUUAACUAACCCGGUCAAACAUUACAAUUUCAUCAAAAAUAAAGUAUAUCUGCGAGUUAACACGUUUUGGCCACCUAAAAAUGUAAACUCGGACGAAUUUACGAGUUAACAUUUGAUUUGUUGAACACUGCCCGCAACCACACCUGCCAGCUCCAUAAAAUCUACUGCCAAACCUCUACUGCUAAAUUACAUUCUAAAAAUAUGUGUGAGACGUUUUCAUCCGUUCCACAACCAAAUGAACAUAUUUUUUUACGAUUUAAUCCAAACUUCUCUUUUAACUAGAUUAUCUUUCGUCGGUAUCCUAUUUUGCAUCAUUUAUUCACACCAAAACUGAUGAAUACGCCUCCUUUAUCGUAUGUCCUUUUCUACCACUUAUCAUCCUAUCAUUCUUCAAAUUGUAUCUUCUUUAUCGUACAACUAAAUCAAACGCCUUUAAAUUUUUAAUCCCUACCCCUCCGACAUACUUUGUCAGUUAAUUUUCCUACUUACCUCUUUCCCAUCUCACCUUAAACUUCUAAAGAGAGAUUCCAGUUUAGAAAUUAAUCUAAAGUACCCUUGAAGAAAGAAAGAAAAUGGAUAGAUAAACCAUACAUCCCCAGUUUCAUUUUACUUGCCACUUUAGUGUUUUUUUUCUUCAUUUCGAAAUAAUUGUUACUUAUACUAAUAUAAUAUUUUUUUUCAUUAAUAUACCUUAAUUUAUUGAAUUUCACUCCAUUUAAUCAUCUCACUAACUUAUGUUUUGAUAAAUAAUACUAACUAUACAUGUUGUUAGUUAUCAUGAAAUCCCAGGGAUAAAGUACAUAAUGAUCAGCAAAAAAGAGAACAUACGAAUAUUCAUGUGGGAGAUACCCAUAGAAACUCAUAGUAGAAGGAAUAGAUUGGAUAAAAGAUGAUUAAGAGCGUACAAUGGUGAAAGCUAUUUAUAAGGGAAAGUUAGUCUAACUAACUCUUAACUACUCAACCAACCAGCUAACCAUAGUUUUCAUAUCAACUAACUAUGAUUUAUUCAUUAUACUCUAAUAGUCUCCCUCAAACUCAAAAUGGAGAAAUUCACCAAAUUUGAGUUACAAUUUAUUCACUAUAUUGUCCAACUCUACUCUCAAAAGUUACGAUUAACGUGACAUCAUGCUUUGGAAUACUUUAAUUUUUCCCAAAAAUGCCAAUUCCCUCCUUUGAUUAUAUUCAGUCGAAAAUGGCAUUUUUGGGGGUCCCAAUUUGUUAGCUGGUAUUUUCACCAGCCUCAUUUAAUAUGGUCAACAUUAGUUGACUUUUACUCUUGCAGGAAUUGAAGUCUUUUUCCUCAAUAAAAACAUUUUCAACGAAAUGUUGGAUUUAGUGUGAAGAGUCUCGAAGCAUUGAAGUUCGACAAGACACAUAGCAAGAGGCGAGGCCGUUGUAGUCAAGCAACUGCCUUUGGAGCGGGAAAGAUUCAAAUUUCAAAGGAGAAUCGGUUUCCUCAAAGGAGAACGUGGGAUACAAGCGGUUGUCUACAUGGAGGGAGUGUUGAUCGUGUGAUUAGUUUCUUUCCACUUAUUUCUUAUGUAUAAAUAAUAGUUUUCCAUAGGAAAACGGGUCGCAUAUCGCCUAUACAGAAUUUUCAAAACACUCGAAGUAUCGGCGCAAGAGAAAAUGGUCACAAAGAAUGUAUGUAAAGGAUUUGUCAAACCACCUUUAUUUUUAAUGCACUUGUAUUUGCACUUUUUCUUUUCUUUAAGUUUAUGCAAUUUAAACUUAAUGUUUUAAAAAACCUGUCGAAAGACGCCACACGGUCUCAUCCCGUUCCAUAAACAACCUACGAACUUGAUGAACGCACACCAACAAAUUGCACAACAUGUCCUAGGAUCUCUAGUUUGGUUCUUCUUGUUAUAAUCAAAACCAGUCAGUAUUUAUUUACCAUAAACACUGAUAAACAGCUAGUUAACUCACGGCAGGGGC
rnacentral:lncRNA from 1 species